rnacentral:rRNA from 1 species
GAUCUGGCUCAGAACGAACGCUCGGUGGCGUGUCUAUACAUGCAAGUCGAGCGAGGCAGCAAUGCCGAGCGGCGAACGGGUGAGUAACGCGUAAGCAAUCUGCCCCGUAUCAGGAAAUACCCGUGCCAACGCGCGGUUAAUGUCCAGGAGAGUGGCUCCCGCAUGGGGAGUUGACUAGAGAUUUAUCGGUAUGGGAUGAGCUUGCGUCCGAUUAGCUAGUUGGCGGGGCAACGGCCCACCAAGGCGACGAUCGGUAGCCGGCCUGAGAGGGUGAUCGGCCACAUUGGGACUGAGAUACGGCCCAGACUCCUACGGGAGGCAGCAGUAGGGAAUAUUGCACAAUGGGGGGAACCCUGAUGCAGCAACGCCACGUGUUGGGAAGAAGCAUUUCGGUGUGUAAACCACUGUCGUGAGGGAAUAAGGCCUGUUCUAGGACAGGAUUGAAUGUACCUCGAAAGGAAGCACCGGCAAACUUCGUGCCAGCAGCUGC